rnacentral:rRNA from 1 species
UACGGAGGGUGCAAGCGUUAUCCGGAUUCACUGGGUUUAAAGGGUGCGUAGGAGGGCAGGUAAGUCAGUGGUGAAAUCUCCGAGCUUAACUUGGAAACUGCCAUUGAUACUAUCAGUCUUGAAUAUUGUUGAGGUUUGCGGAAUGGGUCAUGUAGCGGUGAAAUGCAUAGAUAUGACCCGGAACACCUAUUGCGAAGGCAGCAGGCUAAACAAAGAUUGACGCUGAGGCUCGAAAGCGUGGGGAUCAAACAGG